GAAAUGGUGUCUUUAGACACCACUAAUGUUUUUUGAAGUUUAUUU
rfam:Picea glauca, whole genome shotgun sequence.